rnacentral:rRNA from 1 species
UACGAAGGGGGCGAGCGUUGUUCGGAAUUACUGGGCGUAAAGGGCUCGUAGGCGGCCAACUAAGUCGGAUGUGAAAUCCCCAGGCUUAACCUGGGAACUGCAUCCGAUACUGGAUGGCUUGAAUUCGGGAGAGGGAUGCAGAAUUCCAGGUGUAGCGGUGAAAUGCGUAGAUAUCUGGAGGAAUACCGGUGGCGAAGGCGGCAUCCUGGACCGACAUUGACGCUGAGGAGCGAAAGCUAGGGGAGCAAACGGG